rnacentral:rRNA from 1 species
AUGAUGACUCUCGGCAACGGAUAUCUCGGCUCUCGCAUCGAUGAAGAACGUAGCGAAAUGCGAUACUUGGUGUGAAUUGCAGAAUCCCGUGAACCAUCGAGUCUUUGAAUGCAAGUUGCGCCCGAGGCCACCCGGUCGAGGGCACGCCUGGCUGGGCGUCACGC